AACGAACGCUGGCGGCAUGCCUAACACAUGCAAGUCGAACGAAACCAUCGGGUCUAUUGGCGCACGGGGUUGUAACGCGUGGGAACCUUCCCUUAGGGUCGGCAUAACUCUCCGAAAGGGGUGCUAAUACCGGAUAAUGUCUUCGGACCAAAGAUUUAUCGCCUUUGGUUGUGCCCGCGUUGGAUUAGCUAGUUGGUAGGGUAAAAGCCUACCAAGGCGAGGAUCCAUAACUUGUUUGAGAGAAUGAUCAGCCACACUGGGACUGAGACACGGCCCAGACUCCUACGGGAGGCGGCAGUGGGGGAUAGUGGACAAUGGGCGAAAGGAUGAUGCAGCAAUGCCGCGUGAGUGAUGAAGGCCUUAGGGUUGUAAAGCUCUUUUAACCGGGAUGAUAAUGACAGUACCGGGAGAAUAAGCUCCGGCUAACUACGUG
rnacentral:rRNA from 1 species